AGGAUAAUAGUUAAGACUAACAUUUAAUUUGCAUUUAAAAAACAUUGAUAAAUCAAUUUAUCUU
rnacentral:tRNA from 1 species